AUUGAACGCUGGCGGCAGGCCUAACACAUGCAAGUCGAGCGGAUGAAGGGAGCUUGCUCCUGGAUUCAGCGGCGGACGGGUGAGUAAUGCCUAGGAAUCUGCCUGGUAGUGGGGGAUAACGUCCGGAAACGGGCGCUAAUACCGCAUACGUCCUGAGGGAGAAAGUGGGGGAUCUUCGGACCUCACGCUAUCAGAUGAGCCUAGGUCGGAUUAGCUAGUUGGUGGGGUAAAGGCCUACCAAGGCGACGAUCCGUAACUGGUCUGAGAGGAUGAUCAGUCACACUGGAACGGAGACACGGUCCAGACUCCUACGGGAGGCAGCAGUGGGGAAUAUUGGACAAUGGGCGAAAGCCUGAUCCAGCCAUGCCGCGUGUGUGAAGAAGGUCUUCGGAUUGUAAAGCACUUCAAGUUGGGAGGAAGGGCAGUAAGUUAAUACCUUGCUGUUUUGACGUUACCAACAGAAUAAGCACCGGCUAACUUCGUG
rnacentral:rRNA from 1 species